CAUGCAUGCCUCAGAAGCCGGUAGCUACUAUAUCUCUUAAAUCUGCGACAGGCUCCGUAUAUCUGUUAUUACCACUGGCUCGAGGUAUCAGGGAGGAUAUCCCUGGUAAUUCUCGGGCUAAUACAUGGAUUCAGCUGGGGUUGCUUGUGAGUCAGUCAUUGACCCUUGUGGCUUUGGGCUUCCAGAGCUGUACCACGCCCCCUUUGCGGGGGGAUCACGUGAGGCCUGGAAGUGACCCUACCGCGGUUCAUUCGGCGGUAGGGGUCCUGGAUACCAGACCUAUCAACCAGGGCAUUUGGGCUUGUCCCGUGCCGGUAAUAACGGGUACAGAGGAUCAGGGUUUGGUCCUGGAGAGGUAGCCUUAGAGAUAGCUUCCACUUCUAAGGAAGGCAGCAGGCGCGCAACGUUCCCAAUGAUGACAUAUUGAGGACGUGAAGGGGAAUAGCAAUGCAGCCCCCUAAGACGGGGCGGCAAUUGAAAUGGGGGAGACUUAGAUACCCCACUGAGUAACAAUUGGAG
rnacentral:rRNA from 1 species